UCGGGUUGUAGCGAGUAUCUCCCCGAUAGUAGGGAUUUGGGUUGGUGAGUUCUGAGGCGAAACCUACGCGUUAGCUGAGAGGAUUGGGUAUUGAUUGUGGCAAUUGCCAUGCACCAUGAGCAGUAUAUAUGUUGGUUCUCCUCGCCCAUUGGGCGAUGUGGUUUGAGGAUUUAAGGUUGAGGUGCAUGUGAGACGUCCUUCACCUUGAGCCUGACAGAGCGCGGCAUAUCCGCGGUUGAUUGACUCAAGACCGAGUCGAGUGGCAUAGUUGGUUAAGGUAAAGUAACCUUAGGAAAGAUUGGUUAGUGCUAAAGAAUAGCGAAUAGUAAAGAAUGGCAACGAAGAAAGAACGAUUAAUACUAAGGAAAAGCAAAUAAUAAAGAACGGCUAAGAAUUAAAGAAAGGCAAGUGAAAGAAAGUAGAAUUAGUUAACCUACUUGCAUAAGUUGCAUGAUUUACAUAUUGCAUGUCUUGAGGCAUAAACAUGUAUUUAAUAUUUGUAUUAAAUAUCUAUAGAUAUCUGUUGGACUAACAUGUUUGCAGUGCCUCCUUGGACCUGGUGGGUCGAGCUUUUUCCUUGGGUAGCCGUACCUACUGGGAACUAUGGACAAUCGUUUUCACCCCCGUGUUGUUUUUGGGGGUACAGGUUCACACAUGAGCGGCGCGGUGGCGCGAGGAAAGGGCGUAUCUCCGUAGAUAGCGCCCUACAACCAAGACCAGAAAUAGCAUUACCCCGAGUCGGCUUAGCUAGGGGUUGUAGAAAAGAUGUAAAACAAUAUUGUAAUAAUCUUGUGAUCGAUAAUUGUAUUUGGAAGGAAAUGUAAUCGAAAAUUGUAAAUGUAUAACUUGGGAUGAAUGCUUGUAAUAGCUUAGUUGUUUUAUAUUUUUGAUACUUUCUUAUGCAAUCUAUGCUUGAUUUAUGUUCCUGGUUGGAACAUCGUGAAUUGUAUUGAUUGCGACGCCUACUGUAACAUAUCAGAUUUUGGUAUAAAAAUAAAAAUAAAUAAAAAUAGUGUGAGAUACUAUUUUUAUUGGAUUUAGAGGAGCAAAACAUAAGUCAGAAGUGACUUGUGCUGAAAUCGGAAUGAAAACAGAAGAUCUAGAAUUUUCUAUUGAAAACGGGACAGAUAAAUUAGCAGAAAAUGCAUAGUCUCAGAAAAUUAUGAAAAUUGGAGGAUAAGCCAGAAAUAUUUUUAUGAGACUAGAUUUAAAGUUUCAUAUUUUUCUGACACCCGGAAGGUGAAAAAUAAAAUCCGACAAGUUAUUUGAUAAAGAUUACAGUUCGGUACAGUUUUUGAUGACCAAAUUGGGUCGAAACUGAAAACUUAAGAUAUAUUCUUACUCAGUACGUUAAACUGAGCCUACCUGUCAAAUUUGAGCUCAAACGGACAUUCAGAAGGGCUCCAACUGUUCCGAACUGCUAAACUGCCCUGGGGUGAAUAGUGUCUUGGGGUGUAUAAUAAAGAAGCAAAGUGCUUCUUCUUCCUCUCCUUUAGCUCGAGCACACACACGCACGCACGCAUGGAGAGAGAAGAGAAACUCUCCUUUCUCUCUCUAAAGAUCUCUCUUAUCUCUCUACAUCUCUUGCUCAAAUUCGCGGCGUUGGCGGAGAAGAUGCUCACGAACGCGUUGGGAGCGACGGAUAGAGCUUUCGUGCGCCCGUUGGAGCGGCGUGUUUUCGUCGCGGCAUUCAUAUUGUGGUAAGCUUUUGGGAUUUGGCUUAAUCCUUAGCUUUAAGUGUUCUAAUAGCCUCUAAUGAGCAUUGUUAGCAUGUUGCUCCAUUUAAUUUGGAUUAUUUGGAGGUUAAUUGCAUCUAGGGCUCAAAAAUGCUAGUUUUGUAAACAUGAGGGUUUGAUCUCAUUUGACCCUCUGUAAACUUAAUUGCUAGGUAAACGAACGCGUUGGCGAAGUCGGUUCGGCGAUUCGUCGAGCCGUUGCGAAGUUAUUAAAGAAACGGGCGUCUAGGCUUCGUUUCCGCCUGGAGGGCCGAGGCGACAUCGUAAACUCAUGAAAAUGGAUUUGAAGUAUCGUGGCACAUAACCGAAGACCUUUAAUUUCCGGAUCGUGGAUUGGAGGCCGUUCGGGUGGUCGCGCGAGAGAUCGGGCCAAACCGGGUGCCGGGUGCCGCGGGAGGCCGAUUCCAAGUGUCGACAAGCAAUCAGAAUGCGAAAUGAGGUGGGUUGUGUUUACCGAAGCGAUUAGGUCGCUUUCAUGCCAAAGUAUAGUGUAUUUCACUAUUGAUGCAUGGUGAUAGUAAAAAUACUAAGUAAGAAGGCAUGAUAAAAAUGCUAAGUAAUAAUGCAUGAUAAGAAUGCUAAGUAUGAAUGUAUGUGAUAGAUGUUAAGUAAUGCAUGUAAUAUGUGCCAAGUAAUGAACGUAUAAGAUGUAUGCGAAGGAAUGCAUGUUGUCACAAUAGGAAAUGCUAAAAGAAUUCAUAUUGACAUAAAGUAGAAAGCAUGUUAGUGGUGAUGAAUAAUGAUAAGAUAAGAAUGUUAAGUAAAUGCAUUGAAUGAUGUUAGCUAAAGGCAUGAGAUAAGUGGCAUUGUAUGUUAACGUAAAGUAGAAAGCAUGUUAGUGAUGAUGCAUAAUGAUAAGAUAAGAAUGCUAAGUAAAGGAUAUGUGUAAGUAGACAUAAAUGCACGUAUAGAUCGAGUGGCAUUAAACCUAGUGUCAAGGACAUAGUUUAAACAAGAGUAAUAAUGAACCUAGUGUCAUUGAAUAUAGGUUAUUCACGAGUGGCAUGUCAAGUAUAAUUCCUAGGUGUGGACAACUAGGAAAACAAGAACAUGAGUGGCAUUGAACCUAGAGUCAAGUAAACCUAGGUUGUGAACAUAGUGACAUGGAAUCUAGAGUCAAAAGAACCUAGGUGGUAAAGAAUGUUGGACCUAGUGUUAAUGAAUCUGGACUAAGAAGAUGAUGACGUUGAACCUAAUGUAUUAACUUAGGUUGAGUAAAGGCUUGGACCUAGAUAGGCCGAUAACAUAGGGUGAGACAAACCCUUGAGUUAUGUAAAGUGGAUUCCGGAAUCCCUGCCACUAGUGCAGCGGCUACUAGUGCAGCAUACAAGCUCGAUAGUUCUUGGCCGUGGGUGCUUGUGACAUAUUCCUCUCCCACCGGAAGAACUUCGAGGCUUGUUAUUGAGCAAUAAUCAUGAGCGCUAGGGUGCAUGUGGCAUGUUCCUCUCUCUAUCGGGGAUCUCGGCUGCGGGUGUAUGCGGCAUGUUCCUCUCCCACCGGGGGAUCCCUGACCACGGGUGUACGCAGCUCUGGGCGACCCGUUGGGCGAUGUGGUUUGUGGAUUGAAGGCUGAGGUGCAUGUGAGAGUUCCUUCACCUCGAGCCGGACAGAGCGCGGACUAUCCGCAGUUGAUUGACUCAAGACCGAGUCGGAUGGCAUAGUUGGCUAAGGUAAAGUAAUCUUAGGAAAGAAAGGCUAAUGUGUAUAAUAUUACUAAGGUGUGAGUACCCUUAGUAAAGCGUAAAGAAUAAAGAAUAAAGAAUAAGGAAAGGUUAAUGCUAAAGAAUGGCAAGUAAUAAAGAAUAAAGAAAGGCAAAUGCUAAAGAAUAGCUAGUAAAGUAAAGAAUGACUAAAAGUAAAGAAUGGAUAAGAAUAAAGUGUAGAAGCAAUUAAUCUAUUACAUGAGUUGCAUAAUUUACAUAUUGCAUGUUGUGAGGCAAAAACAUGGUAAUGUUAGUUGCAUGAUUUACGAUUUCAUAUCUAUCUAUUGGACUAACAUGUUGUUUGCCUCUUUUGGACCUGAUGGUCGAGCUCUUUCCUUGGGUGGCUGUACCCACUGGGAACCAUGGAGUUGGUUCUCACCCCACGUUG
rnacentral:lncRNA from 1 species